AUAUUGGACAAUGGGGGAAACCCUGAUCCAGCCAUGCCGCGUGUGUGAAGAAGGCCUUUUGGUUGUAAAGCACUUUAAGCAGUGAAGAAGACUCUAUGGUUAAUACCCAUAGACGAUGACAUUAGCUGCAGAAUAAGCACCGGCUAACUCUGUGCCAGCAGCCGCGGUAAUACAGAGGGUGCAAGCGUUAAUCGGAAUUACUGGGCGUAAAGCGAGCGUAGGUGGCUUAUUAAGUCAGAUGUGAAAGCCCCGGGCUUAACCUGGGAACGGCAUCUGAUACUGGUGAGCUAGAGUAGGUGAGAGGGAGGUAGAAUUUCAGGUGUAGCGGUGAAAUGCGUAGAGAUCUGAAGGAAUACCGAUGGCGAAGGCAGCCUCCUGGCAUCAUACUGACACUGAGGCUCGAAAGCGUGGGUAGCAAACAG
rnacentral:rRNA from 1 species